UUUAGUCUCUAGAUGAAGAAUGACUUGUGGUUUCAAGGCCAUUGGGAGCUGAACUGUUCCAGGAUCUGAUACAUGCAGCAGUGUCUUCGAAGAAUGUUACUAGAGAGAAGCAGGUACAGCCUUGUGAUUAUUAUGCUUUGAACUUGAUGCUGUGCUGAACACAUAAAAGAGCCCUCAUGAUGAGAGAUUGGAAGGAGAAUGAAAGAAAGGGAGCAAGAUCAUCCAGAGAACCAUGAAGUAGUGACCUUCAGUGAUGAGGUCUGGCGUUCAUCGGCAUUCACACAUCUGCAGAAGGGGUAUGAGGGAGAAAUGACUUCAUUAAUUAUGUCACCAAGUUUUUCUUCUCUUGAUUCCUAAGAAGAAGAAACAGAGAUUACAUGUGUUUACUUAAGGGUAAGCACUAACUGAAUGCUUACUGAGUGGCUAGAUGAAUAUCUAAAAAAAAAAAUGGUUUCUGUAGGCGUUGGAUUCUGUUCAAUGCUUAUGCCCACCCAGAAUGCUCUAUAAAACCUUCACUGUUGUUCUCAGGAUCAGCCUUCCUGAAUUCAUCCUAUAAACUUUUAAUGAGUGACCUAUUUGUAAAACUCCCUUCCAGAUUGGCAAAUACAAGUUGAUAGAGAACUUCAAUGCCUUUUUUUCUUCUAACCUCCCUUUCCUUAUACUUUCCCCUAUUGAAUCCUACCAGAGGGAACACACACACACACACACACACACACACACACACACACACACACAGUAAACUCAUUAGCC